rnacentral:tRNA from 1 species
GGUUCUGUAGCUCAGUUGGUAGAGCAGCUGACUCUUAAUCAGUGGGUCGCGCGUUCGAGCCGCGCCGGAACCAC